rnacentral:rRNA from 1 species
AGCGAACGCUGGCGGCAGGCUUAACACAUGCAAGUCGAGCGGGCAUCUUCGGAUGUCCGCGGCAGGCGGGUGCGUAACACGUGGGAACGUACCCUUCGGUUCGGAACAACUCUGGGAAACUGGAGCUAAUACCGGAUACGCCCUUAUGGGGAAAGGUUUACUGCCGAAGGAUCGGCCCGCGUCUGAUUAGCUAGUUGGUGGGGUAACGGCCUACCAAGGCGACGAUCAGUAGCUGGUCUGAGAGGAUGAUCAGCCACACUGGGACUGAGACACGGCCCAGACUCCUACGGGAGGCAGCAGUGGGGAAUAUUGGACAAUGGGCGCAAGCCUGAUCCAGCCAUGCCGCGUGAGUGAUGAAGGCCUUAGGGUUGUAAAGCUCUUUUGUCCGGGACGAUAAUGACGGUACCGGAAGAAUAAGCCCCGGCUAACUUCGUG